CAGCCGCCGCGGUAAUACGAAGGGUGCAAGCGUUACUCGGAAUUACUGGGCGUAAAGCGUGCGUAGGUGGUGGUUUAAGUCCGUUGUGAAAGCCCUGGGCUCAACCUGGGAAUUGCAGUGGAUACUGGGUCACUAGAGUGUGGUAGAGGAUAGUGGAAUUUCCGGUGUAGCAGUGAAAUGCGUAGAGAUCGGAAGGAACAUCUGUGGCGAAGGCGACUAUCUGGGCCAACACUGACACUGAGGCACGAAAACGUGGGGAGCAAACAGGAUUAGAUACCCCAGUAGUCCCUGUCUCUUAUAA
rnacentral:rRNA from 1 species